AUGCGUUUAACCAUCAAUAAAUGUCUGGUAUCAUGUUUGAAGUAACGUUUUUAUGAAUAUCGACAAAAAGAUAAAAUAGAAUAAAUCUGACGAAACUAAAAAAAAGAAUUUUUAAUUCAAAUUUGUUUUUAUACGUUUUGUAUACAAAACAUCUUCAAAACACCUUCUAUGGGAAAAUAUCUAAAGUGUUCUGAAUAAUCGAGCAAACUGGUGUUACAAAGAUACAAAACUUGGCGAAUAACCACUGAUGUUAAAAGUAACUUAUUGUUAAGAAUACAGUUGUGUUUCAAUGACAACACCCCAUCCAUAAAUGAAGACGAAUUCAUCAAAAUAAAUGUUGUUUCUGUAUCACUAUCGGUCAUUCCCUUGACACAACGACACAACACUACGAAAUGACAUCAUUUGACGCUAAGAAACUGUCAACACGAAAACGAGGUGGAUACAGACCCGAAUAAAGCCUGGCUGAAGACUUUACUUAAUUUCUAAACCAUACAAUGAAAAAUUUAAAUUCUUGAAAUAUUAUUUUUGCACCACAAGGCUAGAAUUUUACCAUAGAUUGUACCACCUAAAAAAUCGGGGUCAUAUCUCUGACAACUAAAGGUUAGGGUUGUUAUUUUCUCUCAGUUACAUCACAACCUUCUACGUACGAAGAAAGAAAAAGCACGUAAUCCUCUAAGUACACGGAAUAUUUAUGAUGCGAUCAUGCGAUGACGUCAUUCUAAAUGACAUUUCCUAAUAUGGUAUCAAGAAGUAAUAUGUCGUGUCCGUUAUUCAUGGCAAAUAUCACUUCAUCGAAGAUGGUUUUAAAAAUAUCCCUCCACCGUGCAUUCAGCUAGAUGCGUUUAACAAGAACGAUAGAAAAUGAUGAAUGUUUUGUUAUCAAGUGUCACUUUCUUAUGAUAUGCAGACGAAAAGGUUACGAUGGCCUACAUUUUAUUAUAUGCGAUGGAGAGCAAGGUGUGGACAGGUGUAUUACGGACUUCUUAUGUUUAUAUCUAGAUAUUCUUGGACAGUUUUGAAUACGAACUAUAAAAGCAUUGGAAUUUAAGUUAUUUAAGAAAUUCCAAAUAUCUUAACUCAAGUGUUUUUCUUUAAUCGGACAUGCAAUGUUUUAAACGAAAAAAAAUAUAUGCAUAUCGGUUGGAGGUUAUUAUCUUAGGUCGUCAAUGUUCUGUUUGACAAAUACUGCAGACUUUGUGUCUUUUGCUAACUUUUAUCGAAGCUUGUAAUGUAUGCUUUGCGAAGUAUUACAUUCUUCAGACAGGGGUAACUUUUGUAAAUUUUUGAAUGUGCUGAUCUGCUUGUAUGAGUGAUGUAAUUAUUUAUUGCAUAUAUUUCCGUUACCAGGUGGUUACUAAGGUGUACUAAGCUAAUGAGAUAGAUGGCUCACAGGGCUAACAGACAUUUAAAGGAAAGAUCGUUCCAUUCCAAUAACGUCAUAACAGUGUAUCCAUUACUUGGAAAUCUACAAAUGCCAUAUUCCAACUUUGUAGCUACCAAGUUUAAUGACAUGAACAUAAAUAUUCAAGAACAUCAGAUGUUUUCACCUUUAUCAUUCAAAAAUAACAAACUUUAUUACAAAUAUGAUAUCAUUUUUAAUCCCAAUAACAACAUAAAUUUAUUGUUUUACUUUAAAUAUGUUUGUAGUUAGACUUUUUACAAAUAUGCCAAACUUUAUCAUCUAGGCAUAAGUAUUUCCGGAUUUAUGAACCGCGGGCACUUUAUGCCCCCCUCUCCCCUGGGUACAAGUUACUACAACAGCAGAAUUUAGAUACCAAUAAGCACGUUUAACUCUGCACAUAAGCGCUAUUGGGCACUCUCUGGUAUUUAAAUAUCAGAAACUGAAUAAUUUUUUCGCAUUUUAAUUAAAUUAUUUUAAAAUACUUUUACAUCAUGUAGACAUUACCGAUGAUCAUUACUUAAAUAUUCAGUAUUUUAAGAGUUUGAUUCAAAAAAGUAACUCUUACAUGUAGAUAUUAUUUCAGUGCAGACUGUUUUAUCCCAGUACGCUCUUGAAUUUAAAUUGAGAUAACUUAAAUCAGAAAAUAUUCAAGUAAACUCAGAAUUUUUCUUCGAGAAUCAAUGUCCCUUUAAACCAGUCUGUUUUUUGCUUACAUAAUUGGAUUUUCUCAUUCCUGUUUUGCUCUUUGUUACAAGACUUACAUUUUCCAUAUUUGUAGCUGGUUAUCGCUUUUUCUAAAGAUAUUUUACAAGUUGUAUGACUGAGCAUGACUGUGCUUAUUGUAAAGUCAAAGUCCAGUAAGUGUAUACUUUGAUGCCCUUAAGCUUACAUAAUGCAAACAAGCAGUAAACCAAGAGAGAUGAAUAACGUGACUGUUUAUCAGAGCAGGUAUAUUAAAAGAGGAUGGCCUGAUGGCCUAUAAUAAAAUAUCUACAACUCUACACUUAUCUUACGUUCAUAAUCUGCAAAUGUUUGUUAUAUCAUCAUAAGUCAUAUUUUGACAUAAUUCUUCAUUUGAUGCUCCAAAUUAAUUUCUCUAAUCAUUCUUAUCAAACUAAUAGUUAUUAUGGUCUAAUACAAGUCGAAAAUUCAUUUUAAAAAGGAGUAAACCAAAUAAUCAACCUAGAAAUAUUUUGAGCUUCGACCCAAACUUCUGCAGGAAUCUUUUAUCCUGAGGUGCUCCUAGAAUUGAAUUUCGGAAAUUAAAGUAUUCAAGGUUAUCAUUAGUACACAAACUUGUCCAAAACAAACAUCUGAGGAUUUGCAAGGACAAAUGCACAAAAACAGCCAUUUUGGAAUACUGCUUCCUUAAGACCUCCUAACA